AUCAAGUCACAGGUAAAUUGGCAAACGGCUUGAUUACUUACAUCGGGAAUGGGAGGUUUUGGCCACAGGCACGCCUGGCACCACAUCAUUGACAGUGAUGUAAUCGUUAAAGUGCUUGGACCAUUUCAUUUUUCUAAACACCGCAAUAGGGACUGAAACUACCUUACACAAUUUCAAACUUACAAAUCUAGGGAAUGCCUAAGAAAGCUUGAAAAAGUGAUCAGGUUUCAAUCUUUUACAGCCCUAACAAAGUAAACUGAACAUCAAUCAUGAACAUCAU